rnacentral:rRNA from 1 species
GAGUUUGAUCCUGGCUCAGGAUGAACGCUGGCGGCGUGCUUAACACAUGCAAGUCGAACGAAGCGAGAAGAAAGAAGUUUUUCGAAAUGGAUUUUUUCUUUGCUUAGUGGCGGACGGGUGCGUAACACGUAGGUAACCUGCCCUGUGCUUGGGAAUAACUCCGGGAAACCGGUGCUAAUGCCGAAUAAUAUCGCCUGUCGGCAUCGAGAGGCGAUCAAAGAAUUUUGGCACAGGAUGGGCCUGCGCCGGAUUAGCUGGUUGGUGAGGUAACGGCUCACCAAGGCGACGAUCCGUAGCCGACCUGAGAGGGUGAUCGGCCACACUGGAACUGAGACACGGUCCAGACUCCUACGGGAGGCAGCAGUGGGGAAUAUUGCACAAUGGGGGAAACCCUGAUGCAGCAACGCCGCGUGAGCGAUGAAGGCUUUCGAGUCGUAAAGCUCUGUCCUAUGGGAAGAUGA